AUGGACUCCUCGCCGUCUGACCUAACCCUAGACUACACCCCCAACGGCAACGGCACGGCAGCUGCCGCCGCCGGCUACCCGAAGCAGGCGUCGCCGGUCGUGGACCACCACCAUCAUCUCUCGGCGGAGCAGGCGACGACGCAGAAGCUGCAGGAGUUCCUGGCCCGCCUCGACGACGAGCGGCUCAAGAUCGACGCCUUCAAGCGCGAGCUCCCGCUCUGCAUGCAGCUCCUCAACCAAGCUAUGGAGGCCUACAGGCAGCAGCUGGAGGCGUGCCAGAUGGGGAGCCAUGGCGGCGCGGCGGCGAGGGCGCCGCUGGUGCUGGAGGAGUUCAUCCCGCUGAAGAACAUCGGGAUCGACGCGGCGGAGAAGGCGGCCGGGAACGCGCCGUCGGAGAAGGCGAACUGGAUGGUGUCGGCGCAGCUGUGGAACGGGCCGGCUGCGGGGGACGCGGCGGCCAAGGGCCCCCAGACUCCCAAGGAGCGCUCGGAGCACCCGCUCGACACGAGCCCCAUGCUCGGCGGGCUCGACGGCGGCGGCGGCAACGGUGUCGGCGCCUUCCUCCCGUUCACCAAGGAGAAGGCCUGUAUGGCGGAGAGCGCGGCGCUGCCGGAGCUCGGGCUCGCGCCCGCGGAGAAGGACCGGGAGGCUGACAGAAAGCCGUACCACGACGACGGCGGCAGCAACGGCACUGUAGUCUCGCGGAGAGACGUCGGUGCACCACCGACGUCGACGCCGCCGGAAGGGCAGUCGGUGCCGCCAGCUCCGCAGACGAACCGGAAGGCCCGGCGGUGCUGGUCGCCGGAGCUGCACCGCCGCUUCGUCAAUGCCCUUCAAAUCCUGGGCGGCGCUCAAGUGGCGACCCCGAAGCAGAUCCGAGAGCUGAUGAAGGUGGAUGGAUUGACCAAUGAUGAGGUGAAAAGCCAUCUCCAGAAGUACAGGUUGCACACGCGGCGGCCGAUGCCGGCACCGUCGGCGCCGCCGCCGGGGGCACCGCAGCUGGUGGUUCUCGGGGGCAUAUGGAUGCCGCCGGACUACGCGGCGCAGGGGGCGGGACCGGCCGGCAUCUAUGGGGCGCACCCGGCAACGCAGGCGCACUACACGGCGGCAGUGUCGGCGCAGGAGUACUACCAGAACGCAGCCGCGGCCGCCCACCACGGCCACCACAUGCAGCACCACCAGGCGGCCUCCAUGGUGCACCACCGCGCGGUGGCACCUCCGCCCCCGCAGCCCGCCUACAAGGUGCACCCGUUGUCCGCAGCAGGGUCCCAGGCGUCAUCGGAGGGCCGGCGUAGCAGCGGCGGCGGCAGGGAGAGGUCGGAGAGCAUUGAGGAGGAGGGCGAGGAGCGGGAGGACGAGGAGGACGAGGACGAGGACGGCAUGGCGGCGAACGGCGACGCCGAGCAGAUCAACUACUAA
rnacentral:rRNA from 1 species